UACAGAGGUGGCAAGCGUUGUUCGGAAUUACUGGGCGUAAAGGGCGCGUAGGCGGUUGCCUAAGUCGGACGUGAAAUCCCCAAGCUUAACUUGGGAACUGCAUCUGAUACUGGGUGACUUGAGUUCGGGAGAGGAAUGUGGAAUUCCAGGUGUAGCGGUGAAAUGCGUAGAUAUCUGGAGGAACACCGGUGGCGAAGGCGGCAUUCUGGACCGAAACUGACGCUGAGGCGCGAAAGCUAGGGGAGCGAACGGG
rnacentral:rRNA from 1 species